rnacentral:rRNA from 1 species
ACCCCAGACUCCUACGGGAGGCAGCAGUAGGGAAUAUUGCUCAAUGGGGGAAACCCUGAUGCAGCGACGCCGCGUGAGUGAAGAAGUAUUUCGGUAUGUAAAGCUCUAUCAGCAGGGAAGAAAAAAGACGGUACCUGACUAAGAAGCCCCGGCUAACUACGUGCCAGCAGCCGCGGUAAUACGUAGGGGGCAAGCGUUAUCCGGAUUUACUGGGUGUAAAGGGAGCGUAGACGGCAGAGCAAGUCUGAAGUGAAAGCCCGCGGCCCAACUGCGGGACUGCUUUGGAAACUGUGCAGCUCGAGUGCAGGAGAGGUAAGCGGAAUUCCUAGUGUAGCGGUGAAAUGCGUAGAUAUUAGGAGGAACACCAGUGGCGAAGGCGGCUUACUGGACUGUAACUGACGUUGAGGCUCGAAAGCGUGGGGAGCAAACAGGAUUAGAUACCCGUGUAU